GUACUUACCUGGCAGGGCAGAUGCCAUGAUCACGAAGGUGGUUUUCCCAGGGUGAGGCUCAUCCAUUGCACUCCAUGAAAACCAGGAAGAGCCAGAGAGAAUGGAUCGGGCUGCCCAUCCACAUUUAAGUGGGCCAUGGGCUGAGCCGGUGGGUUCUGCUGCCUGU
rnacentral:snRNA from 14 species